rnacentral:rRNA from 1 species
AGUGAACGCUGGCGGUAGGCCUAACACAUGCAAGUCGAACGGCAGCACAGUAAGAGCUUGCUCUUACGGGUGGCGAGUGGCGGACGGGUGAGGAAUACAUCGGAAUCUACUUUUUCGUGGGGGAUAACGUAGGGAAACUUACGCUAAUACCGCAUACGAUCUACGGGUGAAAGCAGGGGAUCUUCGGACCUUGCGCGAUUGAAUGAGCCGCUGUCGGAUUAGCUAGUUGGCGGGGUAAAGGCCCACCAAGGCGACGAUCCGUAGCUGGUCUGAGAGGAUGAUCGCCGACACUGGAACUGAGACACGGUCCAGACUCCUACGGGAGGCAGCAGUGGGGAAUAUUGGGCAAUGGGCGCAAGCCUGAUCCAGCCAUACCGCGUGGGUGAAGAAGGCCUUCGGGUUGUAAAGCCCUUUUGUUGGGAAAGAAAAGCAGCAGGUUGAUACCCCGCUGUUCUGACGGUACCCAAAGAAUAAGCACCGGCUAACUUCGUG